rnacentral:rRNA from 1 species
CGCGUAUGCAACUUGCCCUGCACAGGAGGAUAACCCGUCGAAAGACGGACUAAUACUGCGUACACUCACUUAGAGGCAUCUUUUAGUGAGGAAAGAAAUUCGGUGUAGGAUAGGCAUGCGUCCCAUUAGCUAGUUGGUGAGGUAACGGCUCACCAAGGCAACGAUGGGUAGGGGAACUGAGAGGUUUAUCCCCCACACUGGUACUGAGACACGGACCAGACUCCUACGGGAGGCAGCAGUGAGGAAUAUUGGUCAAUGGGCGGGAGCCUGAACCAGCCAAGUCGCGUGAAGGAAGACUGUCUUAUGGAUUGUAAACUUCUUUUGUAUGGGAAUAAAGGUAGGGACGUGUCCUUAAUUGAAUGUACCAUACGAAUAAGCAUCGGCUAACUCCGUGCCAGCAGCCGCGGUAAUACGGAGGAUGCGAGCGUUAUCCGGAUUUAUUGGGUUUAAAGGGUGCGUAGGCGGUUUGUUAAGUCAGCGGUGAAAUCUUGGGGCUCAACCCCGAAACUGCCGUUGAAACUGGCGAACUUGAGUGUAGAUGAGGUAGGCGGAAUUCGUGGUGUAGCGGUGAAAUGCAUAGAUAUCACGAGGAACUCCGAUUGCGUAGGCAGCUUACUAAGUUACAACUGACGCUGAUGCACGAAAGCGUGGGUAUCAAACAGGAUUAGAUACCCUGGUAGUCCACGCAGUAAACGAUGAUAACUGGGCGUAUGCGAUAUACAGUAUGCUCCUAAGCGAAAGCGUUAAGUUAUCCACCUGGGGAGUA